CUCAGGACGAACGCUGGCGGCGUGCUUAAUACAUGCAAGUCAAGGAGAAAAGAUAUCUUCGGACGUCUGAGUAAACUGGCGAACGGGUGAGUAACACGUAGGUAACCUGCCCUCGAGACUGGGAUAACAUCGCCAACGCGAUGCUAAUACCGGAUAAAGCACAGGAUUCGCAUGGAUUUUGUGUUAAAGUUGGCUUCGGCUUGCACUUGAGGAUGGACCUGCGCCCCAUUAGUUAGUUGGUGAGGUAACGGCUCAACAAGACUGCGAUGGGUAGCCGGCCUGAGAGGGUGAUCGGCCACACUGGGACUGAGAUACGGCCCAGACUUCUACGGAAGGCAGCAGUAAGGAAUAUUGCGCAAUGGUCGAAAGACUGACGCAGCAACGCCGCGUGCAGGAUGAAGCUUCUAGGAGUGUAAACUGCUUUUAGUUGGGAAGAACAGACAGGUUUCGAAUAGGGACUUGUUUUGACGGUACCUUUAGAAAAAGCCCCGGCUAACUCCGUGCCAGCAGCCGCGGUAACACGGGGGGGGCAAGCGUUGUCCGGAAUUAUUGGGCGUAAAGGGCGCGCAGGCGGGAUGAUCAGUCUGAGGUGAAAUCUUUUGGCUUAACCGAAAGCUUGCCUUGGAUACUGUCAUUCUUGAGUUCGGAAGAGGGAAGUGGAAUUCCUGGUGUAGCGGUGAAAUGCGGUAGAUAUCAGGAAGAACACCGGUGGCGAAGGCGGCUUCCUGGUCCGAUACUGACGCUGAGGCGCGAAAGCGUGGGGAGCGAACAGGAUUAGAUACCCUGGUAGUCCACGCUGUAAACGAUGGGUACUAGGUGUUGGUCCUUUUUAGGAUCAGCGCCGCAGCUAACGCAUUAAGUACCCCGCCUGGGGAAUACGACCGCAAGGUUGAAACUCGAAGGAAUUGACGGGGGCCCGCACAAGCGGUGGAGCAUGUGGUUUAAUUCGAUGCAACGCGAAGAACCUUACCUGGGCUUGAACCGUAGUCGAAAACCCCUGAAAA
rnacentral:rRNA from 1 species